CUACGGGAUGCAGCAGUGAGGAAUAUUGCACAAUGGGGGGAACCCUGAUGCAGCAACGCCGCGUGGAGGAUGACGCAUUUCGGUGUGUAAACUCCUUUUAUAUGUCAAGAAAAUGACGGUAGCAUAUGAAUAAGCACCGGCUAACUCCGUGCCAGCAGCCGCGGUAAUACGGAGGGUGCAAGCGUUACUCGGAAUCACUGGGCGUAAAGGACGCGUAGGCGGGUUGGAAAGUCAGGUGUAAAAUCCUACAGCUUAACUGUAGAGCUGCACUUGAAACUUCUAAUCUAGAGUAUGGGAGGGGGAGAUGGAAUUAGUGGUGUAGGGGUAAAAUCCGUAGAUAUCACUAGGAAUACCUAAAGCGAAGGCGAUCUCCUGGAACAUUACUGACGCUAAGGCGUGAAAGCGUGGGGAGCAAACAGGAUUAGAUACCCCUGUAGUC
rnacentral:rRNA from 1 species